AGAUUGUUUUAUUCUGCUUCACUUUGAGGCGAGGAUCUAUUGGAAACAUCCUCUCCAUCUGUCAAGAUAUUAGGAAUCCAGCAGAGCAGAUGGAUUCCAGAUCAGCCCGUGAUAUCUUAUGAGUCCAACAAGCAUUUAUCUGUCCAUCAAAUCCACAAUUUGACUGCAUCCCUGAUGCUGAUAUGCCUUUCACGUAUUCCUGGCACAGCCCAACAUAAUAGGGAGGGAAAUCACCAGCCCUCUGUUCAGGAGUCUUUGCCUUCAAAAACCGGACAGCAAUUGAUAGAGUUUGACGAUCGAGCUGCAGCAAAAAAAGAUCACAUGAGUACUAGAAUCAACAAAAAUAACUCUUCAUUCCGUACAAGUAUAUAAUGAGAAACAGACAGAGGAAGCAUUGUGUUUGAGAUAAACUGUUCGGGUCUUGUAUGCUACCUAGUAGAAAAACAUUGUGGAAUUAGGAAGAACUCCAUCAACUGGUCAUACCGCCUAUUGAAGAAGCAGACUGGCCUACGGCAUUUCACUGGAUUAAGAGGGGUCUCUUCUCACCCUUUGAGAAAAAUGCUGAGUAUUCCCGGCUUUUCCAGAGCAAAGGAGCGUAUAAGCUAUAGUUGUGAUAUGUGUUUAUCUCAUAUGUGAUGUGACAAUCUAAGCAUACAAACUUCCACUUCCCUCCACAUGGAAUAUGCUACAACAGAAGAACAAGAACAGUAUUCCCUCCUUUCUCAUACA